AUUGAACGCUGGCGGCGGGCUUAACACAUGCACGUCGAACGAGUGGCGGACGGGUGAGUAAUGCUUGGGAAUCUAGCUUAUGGAGGGGGAUAACUACGGGAAACUGUAGCUAAUACCGCGUACCAUAGGAUGAGCCCAAGUGGGAUUAGGUAGUUGGUGAGGUAAAGGCUCACCAAGCCGACGAUUUCUAGCUGGUCUGAGAGGAUGACCUGCCACAAUGGUACUGAGACACGGUCCAGACGCCUACGGGAGGCAGCAUUGGGGAAUAGUGCACAAUGGGCGCAAGCCUGAUGCAGCCAUGCCGCGGGUGUGAAGAAGGUCUUCGGGUUGUAAAGCACUUUCAGUGAGGAGGCGUUACUCGCAGAAGAAGCACCGGCUAACUCCGUGCCAGCAGCCGCGGUAAUUC
rnacentral:rRNA from 1 species